AGAGUUUGAUCCUGGCUCAGGAUGAACGCUGGCGGCGUGCCUAACACAUGGCAAGUCGAACGGGGACAGCGGAAACCUAGUGAAGUCUGUCCGAGUGGCGGACGGGUGAGUAACGCGUGGAUAACCUGCCGCAUGCAGGGGGAUACCGGCUGGAAACAGCCGCUAAUACCGCAUAAGCGCACGGUGCCGCAUGGCAGAGUGCGAAAAGGAGAAAUCCGGCAAGCGAUGGAUCCGCGUCCGAUUAGCCAGUUGCGGGUAAGGGCCCACCAAAGCGACGAUCGGUAGCCGGCCUGAGAGGGCGGACGGCCACAUUGGGACUGAGACACGGCCCAGACUCCUACGGGAGGCAGCAGUGGGGGAUAUUGCACAAUGGGGGAAACCCUGAUGCAGCGACGCCGCGUGGGUGAUGAAGUAUUUCGGUAUGUAAAGCCCUACCAGCAGGGAAGAAAGAAGACGGUACCUGACUAAGAAGCCCCGGCUAACUACGUG
rnacentral:rRNA from 1 species